UGGGGGAUAUUGCACAAUGGGCGAAAGCCUGAUGCAGCGACGCCGCGUGGGGGAUGAAGGCUUUCGGGUUGUAAACCUCUUUCGCUAUCGAACAAGGCCCGCUUAGGGUGGGUUGAGGGUAGGUGGAGAAGAAGCGCCGGCUAACUACGUGCCAGCAGCCGCGGUAAAACGUAGGGCGCGAGCGUUGUCCGGAAUUAUUGGGCGUAAAGGGCUUGUAGGCGGCUUGUUGCGCCUGCUGUGAAAACGCGGGGCUUAACUUCGCGCGUGCAGUGGGUACGGGCAGGCUUGAGUGUGGUAGGGGUGACUGGAAUUCCAGGUGUAGCGGUGGAAUGCGCAGAUAUCUGGAGGAACACCGAUGGCGAAGGCAGGUCACUGGGCCAUUACUGACGCUGAGGAGCGAAAGCAUGGGUAGCGAACAGG
rnacentral:rRNA from 1 species